rnacentral:rRNA from 1 species
GGUGAACGCUGGCGGCGUGCUUAAGACAUGCAAGUCGAACGGCAGUCUUCGGACUGUAGUGGCGCACGGGUGAGUAACGCGUAACUGACCUACCCCAAAGUCGCGGAUAACGAUUCGAAAGAAUCGCUAAUACGUGAUGUGCUGUCAGAUCCUGUUCUGCCAGUAAAGAUUGAUUGCUUUGGGAUGGGGUUGCGUUCCAUCAGCUAGUUGGUGGGGUAAAGGCCCACCAAGGCGACGACGGAUAGCCGGCCUGAGAGGGUGGCCGGCCACAGGGGAACUGGGACACUGGUCCCACUCCUACGGGAGGCAGCAGUUAGGAAUCUUCCACAAUGGUCGAAAGCCUGAUGGAGCGACGCCGCGUGAGGGAUGAAGGUCUUCGGAUCGUAAACCUCUGAAUCAGGGACGAAAGACACUUCGGUGGGAUGACGGUACCUGAGUAGUAGCACCGGCUAACUCCGUGCCAGCAGCCGCAGUAACAC